CGGCGGCUCCUCCAUUGCGGUGCCCAAUGGGCUGGAGGCUGUGAGCAUGGAGAGCAAGGGCUGCCUGAGCAGCGGACGGUGAAGAGACAGAUGGGACAUCGUUGGAACGCAGGCCCAAGGAGAGGCCCCGUGCAGCUCUCUUCAGGGACCAUCCCGGGGUGCUCGACCUGUCCCUGCAAGAAGAACACCCAUCACCACCAAUCUCUUCAUGCGUCUGCCACUGGCCACCUUUCCUACCCACCACCAGCCCAACCUGCUUCCUCCCCACACAUCUUGGCCUUGUGGCACUCCUAGCCCCACACUGUGGCCAUGCUGCAUCCUUCUAUCUGUCCUGUAUCAUCUUCUGCUUCUCCACUGGUAUGUGGAGCAUGGGCAGACUGUGCCUGGUCCCUCCUCCAGGCCUUUGCUUCCCUGGCUUUUCCCAGCUGGCUCCCACAUGUACACAGCUGUGCAGAUCCUUCCCAAAUAACAGCCUUCAUCCUGUGGGAUGGAAUAAACCUCCUUUCCACACACAGACUUCAA